CCGUAGCCAUCUUGGACCGCCAGGUAAGAAAGCUCCGGAACAAAGAUGUAGCCUCUGUUAAGGUGCUGUGGCGGAACAACAAUAGGGAAGAAAUGACCUGGGAGGCCGAAGAGGAGAUGAAGAAGAAAUAUCCUCAUUUGUUCCCUAUGCCCACAGUUGUCUUGGAGGAAGAAGCACUUGGAUCCUCAAUUUGAUCACCUAUUCAAGUGAAGAAGACUAGGGAAAAAGAUUUUCGACGAAACGGAGAGUGAGCUUGGAUAGGCUUAA